CCCCUAGAUGUUCUGGGCCGCACGCGCGCUACACUGAACAGUUCAACAAGUCUUAACCUUGGCCGAUAGGUCUGGGUAAUCUUUGAACGCUGUUCGUGAUUGGGAUAGACCUUUGCAAUUAUGGGUCUUCAACGAGGAAUUCCUAGUAAACGCAAGUCAUCAGCUCGCAUUGAUUACGUCCCUGCCCUUUGUACACACCGCCCGUCGCACCUACCGAUUGAAUGGUCCGGUGAAAUCUCGGGACGGCGGCUUGGUCGCUUGCGUCCGACUGCUGAAACUUGAUUAAACCAUAUCAUUUAGAGGAAGGUGAANUCGUANCA
rnacentral:rRNA from 1 species